rnacentral:rRNA from 1 species
CGGUGUAGCGGUGAAAUGCGUAGAUAUCGGGAAGAACACCAGUGGCGAAGGCGCUCUGCUGGGCCAUCACUGACGCUCAUGGACGAAAGCCAGGGGAGCGAAAGGGAUUAGAUACCCCUGUAGUCCUGGCCGUAAACGAUGAACACUAGGUGUCGGGGGAAUCGACCCCCUCGGUGUCGUAGCCAACGCGUUAAGUGUUCCGCCUGGGGAGUACGCACGCAAGUGUGAAACUCAAAGGAAUUGACGGGGGCCCGCACAAGCGGUGGAGUAUGUGGUUUAAUUCGAUGCAACGCGAAGAACCUUACCAGGGUUUGACAUCCUGCGAAUCUCUUGGAAACAGGAGAGUGCCUUCGGGAACGCAGUGACAGGUGGUGCAUGGCUGUCGUCAGCUCGUGUCGUGAGAUGUUGGGUUAAGUCCCGCAACGAGCGCAACCCACGUCUUUAGUUGCCAGCAUUUAGUUGGGCACUCUAGAGAGACUGCCGGUGAUAAACCGGAGGAAGGUGUGGAUGACGUCAAGUCAUCAUGCCCCUUACAUCCUGGGCUACACACGUACUACAAUGCUACGGACAAAGGGCAGCAAGUUCGCGAGGACAAGCAAAUCCCAUAAACCGUGGCUCAGUUCAGAUCGUAGGCUGCAACUCGCCUACGUGAAGGAGGAAUCGCUAGUAAUCGCAGGUCAGCAUACUGCGGUGAAUACGUUCCCGGGCCUUGUACACACCGCCCGUCACACCAUGGAAGUUGGCCACGCCCGAAGCCGUUAGUCCAACCCUUGUGGAGGAGGACGUCGAAGGUGGGGC